UAUGACAUCACAGCCACUGACAGUAAAUUCAACUUCCUUUUUUCAGCUUGAGUGGAUUGGGCUUGCAGGUUGCUAGCUGAGGUGUCAUGGCCCUGAAAGGCUGCCUUGUAUCGGCUUAGUGGGGAUUGGAAUCCUUUACAUCUUGAUCCAAGUUUUGCUGCACUGGGAGGAUUUCAGAAGCCAAUACUUCACGGACUAUGCACCUUUGGGUUUGCUGCUAGAAACGUCUUGAAGCAGUUUGCAAACAAUGAUGUGACUAGAUUCAAGGCAAUCAAGGUCUGUAAGUUUGUUAUUAGCCAUUAAU